rnacentral:rRNA from 1 species
GUGUCAGCCGCCGCGGUAAUACGUAGGUGGCAAGCGUUGUCCGGAAUUAUUGGGCGUAAAGGGCUCGCAGGCGGCUCCUUAAGUCUGAUGUGAAAGCCCCCGGCUCAACCGGGGAGGGUCAUUGGAAACUGGGGAACUUGAGUGCAGAAGAGGAGAGUGGAAUUCCACGUGUAGCGGUGAAAUGCGUAGGGAUGUGGAGGAACACCAGUGGCGAAGGCGACUCUCUGGUCUGUAACUGACGCUGAGGAGCGAAAGCGUGGGGAGCGAACAGGAUUAGAAACCCUCGUAGUCC